rnacentral:rRNA from 1 species
CGAGAGGGGCGAGCGUUGUUCGGAAUUACUGGGCGUAAAGGGCGCGUAGGCGGCCUUCUAAGUCGAACGUGAAAUCCCCAGGCUCAACCUGGGAACUGCGUCCGAUACUGGGAGGCUUGAAUCCGGGAGAGGGAUGUGGAAUUCCAGGUGUAGCGGUGAAAUGCGUAGAUAUCUGGAGGAACACCGGUGGCGAAGGCGGCAUCCUGGACCGGUAUUGACGCUGAGGCGCGAAAGCUAGGGGAGCAAACGGGAUUAGAUACCCCGGUAGUCCUAGCCCUAAACGAUGAAUGCUUGGUGUGGCGGGUAUCGAUCCCUGCCGUGCCGAAGCUAACGCAUUAAGCAUUCCGCCUGGGGAGUACGGUCGCAAGGCUG